GGGGGUGCCCCCAGCCCCCCCUGAGCCCCCCAAGCCCCCGCAGAGCCCGAGGAGCCCCCCGAGAAGGAGGAGGCGCCGCGGGAGCGCCGCGGGCACCGGCGCGAGGAGCUGGCACCGUACCCCAAGGGCAAGAAAGGCGGCCGCAAGGAUGAGGAGCUGGACCCGAUGGACCCCAGCGCCUACUCGGACGCGCCCCGGGGCACGUGGUCCACGGGGCUCCCCAAGCGCAACGAGGCCAAGACGGGCGCGGACACGACGGCGGCCGGGCC